AGCGAACGCUGGCGGCAGGCUUAACACAUGCAAGUCGAGCGGGCAUCCUUGUGGUGUCAGCGGCAGACGGGUGAGUAACGCGUGGGAACGUGCCCUUCGGUUCGGAAUAACUCAGGGAAACUUGAGCUAAUACCGGAUACGUGCGAGAGCAGAAAGGUUUAUCUGCCGAAGGAUCGGCCUGCGUCUGAUUAGUUAGUUGGUGGGGUUAUGGCUCACCAAGGCGACGAUCAGUAGCUGGUCUGAGAGGAUGAUCAGCCACACUGGGACUGGGACACGGCCCAGACUCCUACGGGAGGCAGCAGUGGGGAAUAAUGGACAAUGGGGGCAACCCUGAUCCAGCCAUGCCGCGUGAGUGAUGACGGCCUUAGGGUUGUAAAGCUCUUUUCUCCGGGACGAUAAGAACGGUACCGGAGAAAUAGACCCCGGCUAACUUCGU
rnacentral:rRNA from 1 species